UAUACAUGCAAGUCGAACGAACUCUGGUAUUGAUUGGUGCUUGCAUCAUGAUUUACAUUUGAGUGAGUGGCGAACUGGUGAGUAACACGUGGGAAACCUGCCCAGAAGCGGGGGAUAACACCUGGAAACAGAUGCUAAUACCGCAUAACAACUUGGACCGCAUGGUCCGAGUUUGAAAGAUGGCUUCGGCUAUCACUUUUGGAUGGUCCCGCGGCGUAUUAGCUAGAUGGUGGGGUAACGGCUCACCAUGGCAAUGAUACGUAGCCGACCUGAGAGGGUAAUCGGCCACAUUGGGACUGAGACACGGCCCAAACUCCUACGGGAGGCAGCAGUAGGGAAUCUUCCACAAUGGACGAAAGUCUGAUGGAGCAACGCCGCGUGAGUGAAGAAGGGUUUCGGCUCGUAAAACUCUGUUGUUAAAGAAGAACAUAUCUGAGAGUAACUGUUCAGGUAUUGACGGUAUUUAACCAGAAAGCCACGGCUAACUACGUGCCAGCAGCCGCGGUAAUACGUAGGUGGCAAGCGUUGUCCGGAUUUAUUGGGCGUAAAGCGAGCGCAGGCGGUUUUUUAAGUCUGAUGUGAAAGCCUUCGGCUCAACCGAAGAAGUGCAUCGGAAACUGGGAAACUUGAGUGCAGAAGAGGACAGUGGAACUCCAUGUGUAGCGGUGAAAUGCGUAGAUAUAUGGAAGAACACCAGUGGCGAAGGCGGCUGUCUGGUCUGUAACUGACGCUGAGGCUCGAAAGUAUGGGUAGCAAACAGGAUUAGAUACCCUGGUAGUCCAUACCGUAAACGAUGAAUGCUAAGUGUUGGAGGGUUUCCGCCCUUCAGUGCUGCAGCUAACGCAUUAAGCAUUCCGCCUGGGGAGUACGGCCGCAAGGCUGAACUCAAAGGAAUUGACGGGGGCCCGCACAA
rnacentral:rRNA from 2 species